UUUAUACGACUCUCGGCAACGGAUAUCUCGGCUCUCGCAUCGAUGAAGAACGUAGCGAAAUGCGAUACUUGGUGUGAAUUGCAGAAUCCCGUGAACCAUCGAGUCUUUGAACGCAAGUUGCGCCCGAGGCCUUUCGGUUGAGGGCACGCCUGCCUGGGCGUCACGC
rnacentral:rRNA from 1 species